AAAUGUUGACUUUUUAGUACAUAAUAAUUUUAUUGAACCUAAGUUCUCCAAGAUACCACAUUUUGCAUUUAAAAUUUGUUGGUAUUGGUUGCCAAUACCAUUUAUAAGUUUUAAAGUUAAUUUAGCAGAAUUUUCAGUUUUUAUACAUUAUCUUUACUGUUCCAUUAGUCAUUUUUGCAGUGGGAAUUUGGCAAAAUGAUCAACAUAAAAAUUAUUUCUUAUUUUGUCUAGUUUAAUUUUCUUUUUUUGAAUCACUCCAUU
rnacentral:misc_RNA from 1 species